ACCUUAGAGACCAACUAAGUUUGUUCUUGGUAUAAGCUUUCGUGUGCAUGCAUGCUCAUACCAAUAACAAACUUAGUUGCAUGCACACGAAAGCUUAUACCAAGAACAAACUUAGUUGGUCUCUAAGGU